rnacentral:rRNA from 1 species
AUGCGAGUUAAAUGUUCUUCGUGAACAUAGCAGACUGCUCAGUAACACGUGGAUAACCUGCCCUUAGGACUGGCAUAACCCCGGGAAACUGGGGAUAAGUCCGGAUAGAUCAUAAAUGCUGGAAUGCUUUAUGAUUGAAAGGUUUCGACCGCCUUAGGAUGGAUCUGCGGCCUAUCAGGUUGUAGUGGGUGUAAUGUACCUACUAGCCUACGACGGGUACGGGUUGUGGAAGCAAGAGCCCGGAGAUGGAUUCUGAGACAUGAAUCCAGGCCCUACGGGGCGCAGCAGGCGCGAAAACUUUACAAUGCGGGAAACCGUGAUAAGGGAACACUGAGUGCUAGCAUUUAUGUUAGCUGUCCACAUGUGUAAAUAGCAUGUGAUAGCAAGGGCUGGGCAAGACCGGUGCCAGCCGCCGCGGUAACACCGGCAGCCCGAGUGGUGAUCACUAUUAUUGGGUCUAAAGGGUCCGUAGCCGGUUUAAUCAGUCUUCUGGGAAAUCUAAUCGCUUAACUAUUAGGCUUCCAGGGGAUACUGUUAGACUUGGGACCGGGAGAGGUAAGAGGUACUGCAGGGGUAGGAGUGAAAUCUUGUAAUCCCUGUGAGACCACCAGUGGCGAAGGCGUCUUACCAGAACGGGUCCGACGGUGAGGGACGAAAGCUGGGGGCACGAACCGGAUUAGAUACCCGGGUAGUCCCAGCUGUAAACGAUGCUCGUUAGGUGUCAGGAACGGUGCGACUGUUUCUGGUGCCGAAG